rnacentral:tRNA from 1 species
GCUUCCAUGGCUCAGUUGGUAGAGCAGCUCAUUCGUAACGAGCAGGUCAACGGUUCGAGUCCGUUUGGAAGCUCCA